CAAAAACUUGUCUCAGUUCGGAUUGUAGGCUGAAACUCGCCUACAUGAAGCUGGAGUUGCUAGUAAUCGCGAAUCAGCAUGUCGCGGUGAAUACGUUCCCGGGCCUUGUACACACCGCCCGUCACACCAUGAGAGUUGGCAAUACCCAACGUACGUGAUCUAACCCGCAAGGGAGGAAGCGUCCUAAGGUAGGGUCAGCGAUUGGGGUGAAGUCGUAACAAGGUAUC
rnacentral:rRNA from 1 species